rnacentral:rRNA from 1 species
GACGAACGCUGGCGGCGUGCCUAAUACAUGCCAGUAGAACGCUGAAGAGAGGAGCUUGCUCUUCUUGGAUGAGUUGCGAACGGGUGAGUAACGCGUAGGUAACCUGCCUGGUAGCGGGGGAUAACUAUUGGAAACGAUAGCUAAUACCGCAUAAAAUGGAUUAUCGCAUGAUAAUCCAUUGAAAGGUGCAAAUGCAUCACUACCAGAUGGACCUGCGUUGUAUUAGCUAGUUGGUGGGGUAACGGCUCACCAAGGCGACGAUACAUAGCCGACCUGAGAGGGUGAUCGGCCAAACUGGGAUGGAGAAAGGGCCAAGACUCCAACGGGAGGCAGCAGAGGGGAAUCUUCGGCAAUGGACGGAAGUCUGACGGAGCAACGCCGCGUGGGUGAGGAAGGUUUUCGGAUCGUAAAGCUCGGUGGUAAGAGAAGAAGGAGUGUGAGGGUGGAAAGUUCACACUGUGACGGUAUCUACCAGAAAGGGACGGCUAACUACGUG